GAUGAACGCUGGCGGCGUGCCUAAUACAUGCAAGUCGAGCGAACAGAUGAGGAGCUUGCUCCUCUGACGUUAGCGGCGGACGGGUGAGUAACACGUGGAUAACCUACCUAUAAGACUGGGAUAACUUCGGGAAACCGUAGCUAAUACCGGAUAAUAUAUCGAACCGCAUGGUUCAACAGUGAAAGACGGUUUUGCUGUCACUUAUAGAUGGAUCCGCGCCGCAUUAGCUAGUUGGUAAGGUAACGGCUUACCAAGGCAACGAUGCGUAGCCGACCUGAGAGGGUGAUCGGCCACACUGGAACUGAGACACGGUCCAGACUCCUACGGGAGGCAGCAGUAGGGAAUCUUCCGCAAUGGGCGAAAGCCUGACGGAGCAACGCCGCGUGAGUGAUGAAGGUCUUCGGAUCGUAAAACUCUGUUAUUAGGGAAGAACAAAUGUGUAAGUAACUAUGCACGUCUUGACGGUACCUAAUCAGAAAGCCACGGCUAACUACGUG
rnacentral:rRNA from 1 species